AUUGAACGCUGGCGGCAGGCCUAACACAUGCAAGUCGAACGAGUGGCGGACGGGUGAGUAAUGUCUGGGAAACUGCCCGAUGGCGGGGGAUAACUACUGGAAACGGUCGCUAAUACCGCAUACCAUCGGAUGUGCCCAGAUGGGAUUAGCUAGUAGGUGGGGUAACGGGUCACCUAGGCGACGAUCCCUAGCUGGUCUGAGAGGAUGACCAGCCACACUGGAACUGAGCCACGGUCCAGACUCCUACGGGAGGCAGCAGUGGGGAAGAUUGCACAAGGGGCGCAAGCCUGAUGCAGACAUGCCGCGUGUAUGAAGAAGGCCGUCGGGUUGUAAAGUACUUUCAGCGGGGAGGCGUUACCCGCAGAAGAAGCACCGGCUAACUCCGUGCCAGCCGCCGCGGUAAUAC
rnacentral:rRNA from 1 species